rnacentral:rRNA from 1 species
AACGAACGCUUUCUUCCUUCCUAACACAUGCAAGUCGAACGAGACCUUCGGGUCUAGUGGCGCACGGGUGCGUAACGCGUGGGAACCUGCCCUUAGGUUCGGAAUAACUCCCCGAAAGGGGUGCUAAUACCGGAUAAUGUCUUCGGACCGAAGAUUUAUCGCCUUUGGAUGGGCCCGCGUUGGAUUAGCUAGUUGGUAGGGUAAAAGCCUACCAAGGCGACGAUCCAUAGCUGGUCUGAGAGGAUGAUCAGCCACACUGGGACUGAGACACGGCCCAGACUCCUACGGGAGGCAGCAGUGGGGAAUAUUGGACAAUGGGCGAAAGCCUGAUCCAGCAAUGCCGCGUGAGUGAUGAAGGCCUUAGGGUUGUAAAGCUCUUUUACCCGGGAUGAUAAUGACAGUACCGGGAGAAUAAGCGCCGGCUAACUCCGUG